rnacentral:lncRNA from 1 species
UUGCAUUUAAAAGUUGUGAUUUCUGCUCUGUGUGUAUCUGUCUCAAUUAAUAUCUUCUUCCAAUCAGCUACUCUUUUCUCCUAAGUAAUAAUGUUUGUGAAGCCAUGGGCUUGAUGCACUACUUACAUGUUCUGUACUCAUUAAAAGAAAUAAUGAUUAAGAUGAAAAUGCAUUCACUCAGGCUCCAUUACAGGAUAGUGCAGAGGUUAAAAAGUGUGCUCUGGGGUCGGGUAGUCUGGGUUCAAAUCCCAGGUCAGUUGUUACUAGCUGUGCACCCCUACUUCCUCUACCACCCUGUGCCUGCUUUCACAGCUGCGAAUGGGGAGAGCCACAGCGCCUGUCUCUGUGUGCAGCACAGAGCGGUCGCUGGGUUUUCACCCUCACUGCCCACUGGAGCAGCCCUGGCCACAGCCCACCAGUUGCUCCGUGUGGUCACCAUCCUCAGUCCUUGCCUGCCACCUCACACUGGCCUCCAGGACCCCCUUCCUCUGCGUCCUCCUCCCUCCCUAGCUGCUCCUUCUUAGUCUCCUCACACCGGUGGGCUCCCCACAGUCUCCCUCCUGAGGGGACUUCCUGCAGUCCCAGAGCCUCAGAUAACUUCAACUACCCAUAGCUCCCUUACCUUCCACAACCAGGCCAGACCUCUCCUGACCUCCACACUCAGCAACCCAGCAGCCUCCCUGCAGCUCCACCCUACAGGCACCUAAAGCCAGCUCCACCUACAGUUCCCCUGUCUCAGUUGAGGGCCAUUCUCCCAUUGCUUGGCCUAAAGAAACCCUGUAUAAUCCUCGACCCCUCUCUCUCCCACACGUCACGUGUCCAAUUCAUCAGCAAACAUGGCCGGAACCUGACACCUCCUCACCACAAGCCCCUAUUACCACCAUUCCUCCCCGGGUCCCUGCCGCAACCUCCCGACAGGCUUCGCUGCUUGGCCUUGCACCCUUCACUCCAUUCUUGGCACCACAGCCAGGGAUUCUGCACAGCCUCCUCUGCUCAGGGCCCUCCACUGGCUUCCUCUUUUGCUCAGGAUAAAUACCCAACUCCGGGAAGUCAUCAGCAGGGCCCUCUCUCCUCUCUGCCCACACCACCCACUCCUCUUGCUCACUCCACCUGCUCCACAUGGUCCCCCUUCACUGUUCUCAGUCGUGCUGGGAGCCCCAGGCAGGCCUCUGCCCCUGCAUCUCCUUUAGGUUUUUAAAUCAAAUGUCAUGACCUCAGUGGGGACUGGCCCAAGAACCUCCCGGUGGACUCUACCAUCACUCCCUACCUGUUUCCAGCUUGAUUUUCCUCUACAGGAUUUCCCAUCUGAUACAGAUUUUAUUUCAUUGUUGUUUACUGUCUGUCUCCCCAAAUGAGAAAGUGCAGCCCAUGGAACACACUCUGCUGUGCCCUGCCCCCCACCAUGGCCCCACACCUGCUCCACCACCUGACAGACUGACCCAUGCGGGAGCGCGAUUUACAUCUGUUGAAUGAAUGAGUAAAUGAAUGGCACCCAGUAUUAUUGUUAUGACUGUUUCUUAUGCCAGGCUUUGGAAAACACUGGAUUGGGUGCU